GUCUCGGAUAGCUUAACAGAUAGAGCCUUUGGCGCAGGACCAAAAGAUCCAGGUUCGAGUCCUGGUCUGGACC
rnacentral:tRNA from 1 species